rnacentral:lncRNA from 1 species
AGAAUUAAAUAAAACAAAAAAUGAAAUUAUUUUAACAAAACAAAUAGAAGAUGAAUAUAGUGUAUGGAGUGCAGAUAUGUCUGAUGAUUAUAUAGACUUAGAUCCUGAUGACUUUAUUUCUUUUUAUAGUUCAAAAUGUAAAUAUGUUAAUUUUAAUGAUAAAAAUGGGAGUGAUAAUGGGAGUGAUAAUGGGAAUGAUAAUGGGAGUGAUAAUGGGAGUGAUAAUGGGAGUGAAAAUGGGAGUGGUAAUGAAGACACAUGGGACGAAUCAUAUAAAAAUAAUAAAAAAAAAAAAAAUUAUGAUCAAUCGCAAUUGCAAUCGGAUAUGUAUAUGGAAAAAACAGAGAAUAAUAACAAAAACAACAAACUAUCAUUUGUUUAUUCUAAUAAUAAACAUUGUUUUGAAAACUAUCCUUCUUAUUCUAAUGAUUCUUCUUGUAGUGAUUCUUCUUCUUCUUCUUCAUCUUCCUAUUGUGAUUCUUGUAUUAAUUUUAAAAAAAGUAUAACAAAACUAAGUGACCAAUAUAAUAAAGAUUUUUUUUUAUAUUCUAGUGGGGAUGAGUUAGAUAUAUCUUCAAGCGAAGAUGAAAGUGGUAAUGAUGAAAACACAAAUGACGAUGAUGAUGAAUUAGAAGAAGAAAUAAUUUUUAAUCCAUUUGCAUGGAAAAAAUUUGAAAAACAUAUACCUUCAGAAUAUAUAAGUUACUUAGAAACGUUAGAAAAAGAACUUGAUGCAUUACCAGUCGAAGUAAACAUAAAAGAUAUACAAUUAAUUAUAAAAUCGAAUAUAUAUAAAAUAUUUGUACAUGUAAUGAAUAAACAUAAAAACGUUUUAACUAUUUUUGAUAAAAAAUUAGAUGAAUUUAUUGAAAUAGAUGUAAAACAAUUAAGAUGGAUUACAACCAUAUUAAACAAAACAUCAAACAGUUUUAAUAAUAUAGAUAUAUGUAGAAUAUGGUUUGAAUAUAUAUUUGAAUAUAACACUAAAGUGUUUAUAAAUUCAGAAAAAGAAUUUAUUAAUAAAAUAAAAUAUUCCAAAGUUUUUGAAAAAAAUAAUAAAACUUAUUUAAAUAAUAUAUUAAAAGAUAUAAAAAAAUGGAAGUGUUAUCAUGAAAAAAAAUGUCAAUUAAAUAAAUGUAAUAAAGAAAUUAGUGAUAAUGGAUGUUUAAGUGGUCAUACCGGUAAUAAUCAUCAAAUCGAUAAAGAUUGUAACGGUACACUUAGCAGUAAUAAUAACAAAAAUAACAAUAAUAAUAAAAAUAACAAUAAUAACAAUAAUAACAAUAAUAAAAAUAAUAAAAACAGUAAAAAUAAUAACAAAAAUAAUAACAAAAAUAAUAACAAAAAUAAUAACAAAAAUAAUAACAAAAAUAAUAAUGCUGAUCCGUGUCAUAACAAUGAUAGUAUUACGAACCAUGUACAAGGAAUUAGUAUAAAAAAAAUUACAGAUGAAAUUACGAAAGAAAAUAAUGAAGAUAAUACGACGAACAAAGGGGAUGUCAACCAUACAAGUAAUAAUAAUAACAGUAGCAAUAAUAAC